CCUACAGCUAUGAGGAAGUCCAGGAGGAGACGGGAGAAGCUGGGGAGGCUGGUGCUACUGCUGGAAGACAGGCCAAAGAGGAAGAAUGAAAAAAAAUUCCAGCAGGCCAUUGAGAAAGAACUUUGAACAACAAAUGUUUAAUAGGGAUUGCAGCAGUGUGAUGCAGUCCCCAACUUUGAUUUCCUGCUCCACACGAGAUCCUAGUGAACUGUCUCUAGUUAUUACUCCUUAGCUCCAUGUAGUUCCAGAUCCUUUCCUGUGAGUGGAUUUGGCUUGGACAGAAGAGGGAAGACUUAUGUGGAGGUGGGCGCUUGGCUGCCGCCACCAUUGUGGCCAUCUGGAAAGGGUGAAUCUUCGAGAGGAGAGCCCAGUGACUGUCGUGCAUUGCCUGGGACAGCCCAGACACCUAAUUCUGAUCAGACAGAAGUCCCUGAUCAGAUGAAAAGAAAAAGCAAAGAUUCUGUCUGUCCUGACCGCCCUGCAGGUUAAGCUGCCCUGCAGCCAGCAGAGUGCCUGGCAUACGGGAGGCACCCUGUGCAGCAGCCAGGGCUACUCGCCCAACUGGGAGGAGGCGGAUGGUGGGUAAAAGUGAGCACUGGGCCUUCCUGAUGUGAGGCGAGGAUGUGGAUCUGGGAGGAAAGACAAAUGAAGAAGCAGGUGGACAGCCCCAGCUGGGCUCCAGGUGGGGCCUGGGGUAAAGUGACCCUUCUGCAUUGCUUUCCUGCUCUGGGUACCCGUAACUGCUAACAGACCAGGGCUGAGUCCCCAGACAGCCUUCUUGUCUGGGGUUCAGUCUGUGCCACCCUCUCCAACUCACCUACUCUCUAUUUUCCAUCUGCACUGAGACCUUGUGAACCACCGUGAAAAAUGCUUCUCACUUCCAGUCCCAAGAGAGGUGGAGAGCCGCAGUAGAACGUUGCAGAAGGAGAGGCGGCUUCUAGCUGGGGAUAUGGGGGCUGGCCCUUGAGCAGGACUUUGCAGGAUGGGGUGGACAUCCAUUGCUAUAUAUUCUCCUGGUGCUGUGCUAUAGGACCCCCUACUGUUUCAGGAAUAAAGCCCAGCCCCUGCCAGGUGCUUGCAGUCCAGGGGGCACCCGGGUGAGUGGCAGUCAGGGCCAACACUGUGUGGUGGCAGGGCUGGGCUGGGAGCCUCACAUACAUUUUCCUCAUGAUCUUCCCCUGUGACCUUGGUGAUUUCCUGAGAUUUUUGUCAGUCCUUCCCGUUCUGCAAGUUGAUCAGUUUGGCCCUUUGGUUUUCAGAUUUUUAUGGAAAGAACUUCUCUCAUCCCUGCUUCAUAUCCUUUCAGUUCUGUCCAAAGGCAAAUCUCUGACGCAUUCCCACUCCGGCCAUCUGACGUGUGCUGGGUCACGAGGGCAGGCUGCAGCCUCCCUUGCAGUCCCUUGCCUUAGACGCCCGCGCCAGCCCAUUCAACCAUCACAAAUGCGCAGACAGAGCAGAAGGUUCCCAACAGGCUGCGCCUGUGCUGGACCACCCCCUUUCCUCCUUCCUUCAGCUGCCCCUCUUUCUGGAUGGGUAAAAGCACUUCCAUGUUUUCAGAGGCGUGGAGGGAGCCCGAGAAGAGCAGAUGUUGACACCACCAUCACUGCCUGCAGCAGUGAGACCAGGGGCACAGUUUUUGUUGAAAGGGUCGACCAGGAAGCACUUCCUUGACUCUGUCCUAAAGCCUCUGGAGAGCCCUUAAAUUUGUGGUCCUUGAAGCUAUUGUAAAGGUAUUAUUCAGGAACAAGAUGGGCAAAACAUGAAUAGGACAAGCUUUCUGCUCUCCAGGGACUCCCUUGAAGAUGUGUCACAACCCCAAGCCAGUAUGCCUGUGUGAUUUCAUCUUAGAUGGUAUCUUGGAAGCAAGACCUACCUGGACUUUUUAGAAAUCUAAUCUAAUCAUUUUCUGUCUUGGAGUAGGUAAGUUCCCAUUUGCUGUCAUUACAGACAUACUUCAAUUUGUUAUUAUUUUGCUACCAUGUGUUUUG
rnacentral:lncRNA from 1 species